rnacentral:rRNA from 1 species
GCAUAUCAAUAAGCGGAGGAAAAGAAACCAACAGGGAUUGCCCUAGUAACGGCGAGUGAAGCGGCAACAGCUCAAAUUUGAAAUCUGGCUCUCUUUGGGGGUCCGAGUUGUAAUUUGCAGAGGAUGCUUUGGCAUUGGCGGCGUUCUAAGUUCCUUGGAACAGGACAUCACAGAGGGUGAGAAUCCCGUACGUGGUCGCCUGCCUUUGCCGUGUAAAGCUCCUUCGACGAGUCGAGUUGUUUGGGAAUGCAGCUCUAAAUGGGAGGUAAAUUUCUUCUAAAGCUAAAUACCGGCCAGAGACCGAUAGCGCACAAGUAGAGUGAUCGAAAGAUGAAAAGUACUUUGGAAAGAGAGUCAAAAAGCACGUGAAAUUGUUGAAAGGGAAGCGCUUGCAGCCAGACUUGCCCGCAGUUGCUCACCUAGGCUUUGGCCUGGGGCACUCUUCUGCGGGCAGGCCAGCAUCAGUUUGGGCGGUUGGAUAAAGGCCUCUGUCACGUAUCUCCCUCCGGGGUGACCUUAUAGGGGAGGCGUAAUGCAACCAGCCCGGACUGAGGUCCGCGCAUCUGCUAGGAUGCUGGCGUAAUGGCUGUAAGCGGCCCGUCUUGAAACACGGACCAAGGAGUCUAACAUCUAUGCGAGUGUUUGGGUGUCAAGCCCGGGCGCGCAAUGAAAGUGAACGGAGGUGGGAACCCUUUGGGUGCACCAUCGACCGAUCCUGAUGUCUUCGGAUGGAUUUGAGUAAGAGCAUAGCUGUUGGGACCCGAAAGAUGGUGAACUAUGCUUGAAUAGGGUGAAGCCAGAGGAAACUCUGGUGGAGGCUCGCAGCGGUUCUGACGUGCAAAUCGAUCGUCAAAUUUGGGCAUAGGGGCGAAAGACUAAUCGAACC